rfam:TPA: Bos taurus chromosome 27, whole genome shotgun sequence.
UCCCUGGUGGCUCAGACGGUAAAGUGUCUGCCUGCAAUGCGGGAGACCCAGGUUCGAUUCCUGGGUCGGGAA